rnacentral:rRNA from 1 species
GACAGAGGUGGCAAGCGUUGUUCGGAUGCAUUGGGUGUAAAGGGUAUGUAGGUGGCCGGCUAAGUCUGACGUGAAAUCCCAUGGCUCAACCGUGGAACUGCGUUGGAAACUGUCUGGCUUGAGUAUCGGAGAGGUGUAGGGAAUUCUCGGUGUAAGGGUGAAAUCUGUAGAUAUCGAGAGGAACACCAGUGGCGAAGGCGAUACACUGGCCGAUUACUGACGCUGAGAUGCGAAAGCAAGGGGAGCAAACAGG